AAUAUUGCACAAUGGGCGGAAGCCUGAUGCAGCGACGCCGCGUGAGGGAUGACGGCCUUCGGGUUGUAAACCUCUUUCAGCAGGGAAGGAGCGAAAGUGACGGUACCUGCAGAAGAAGCGCCGGCUAACUACGUGCCAGCAGCCGCGGUAAUACGUAGGGCGCAAGCGUUGUCCGGAAUUAUUGGGCGUAAAGAGCUCGUAGGCGGCUUGUCGCGUCGGAUGUGAAAGCCCGGGGCUUAACCCCGGGUCUGCAUUCGAUACGGGCAGGCUAGAGUUCGGUAGGGGAGAUCGGAAUUCCUGGUGUAGCGGUGAAAUGCGCAGAUAUCAGGAGGAACACCGGUGGCGAAGGCGGCCUUCUGGACAGUGACUGACGCUGAGACGCGAAAGCGUGGGGAGCAAAC
rnacentral:rRNA from 1 species